GAUGAACGCUGGCGGCGUGCCUAACACAUGCAAGUCGAACGAAGCACCUUGAUUUCUUCGGAAUGAGAGGUGACUGAGUGGCGGACGGGUGAGUAACGCGUGGGUAACCUGCCUCGUACAGGGGGAUAACAGCUGGAAACGGCUGCUAAUACCGCAUAAGCGCACACUACCGCAUGGUAGAGUGUGAAAGUUUUUCGGUACGAGAUGGACCCGCGUCUGAUUAGCUGGUUGGUGAGGUAACCGGCUCACCAAGGCGACGAUCAGUAGCCGGCCUGAGAGGGUGGACGGCCACAUUGGGACUGAGACACGG
rnacentral:rRNA from 1 species